GAUGAACGCUGGCGGUAUGCUUAACACAUGCAAGUCGAACGGACUCUUCGGAGUUAGUGGCGGACGGGUGAGUAACGCGUGAGAAUCUGGCUUUGGGUUCGGGACAACCACUGGAAACGGUGGCUAAUACCGGAUGUGCCGAGAGGUAAAAGAGAAAUUGCCUGGAGAUGAGCUCGCGUCUGAUUAGCUAGUUGGUGAGGUAAAGGCUCACCAAGGCAGCGAUCAGUAGCUGGUCUGAGAGGAUGACCUGCCACACUGGGACUGAGACACGGCCCAGACUCCUACGGGAGGAAGCAGUGGGGAAUUUUCCGCAAUGGGCGAAAGCCUGACGGAGCAAUACCGCGUGAGGGAAGAAGGCUCUUGGGGUGUAAACCUCUUUUCUUAGGGAAGAACAAAAUGACGGUACCUAAGGAAUCAGCAUCGGCUAACUCCGUG
rnacentral:rRNA from 1 species